GAUGAACGCUAGCGGGAGGCCUAACACAUGCAAGCCGAGCGGUAGAGUUUCUUCGGAAACUUGAGAGCGGCGCACGGGUGCGUAAAACGUGUGCAACCUACCUUUAUCUGGGGGAUAGCCUUUCGAAAGGAAGAUUAAUACCCCAUAAUAUAAUGAGUGGCAUCAAUUAUUAUUUAAAACUCCGGUGGAUAGAGAUGGGCACGCGCAAGAUUAGAUAGUUGGUGAGGUAACGGCUCACCAAGUCAAUGAUCUUUAGGGGUCCUGAGAGGGAGAUCCCCCACACGUGGACUGAGGCACGGACCAGACUCCUACGGGAGGCAGCAGUGAGGAAUAUUGGACAAUGGGUGAGAGCCUGAUCCAGCCAUCCCGCGUGAAGGAUGACUGUCCUAUGGAUUGUAAACUUCUUUUGUACAGGGAUAAACCUACCCUCGUGAGGGUAGCUGAAGGUACUGUACGAAUAAGCACCGGCUAACUCCGUG
rnacentral:rRNA from 1 species